rnacentral:tRNA from 6 species
GCCCGGAUGGCGAAAUUGGUAGACGCAAGGGACUUAAAAUCCCUCGGUGGCAACACCGUGCCGGUUCGAUUCCGGCUCCGGGCACCA